AUAGCGAAGAGGUCACACCCGUUCCCAUACCGAACACGGAAGUUAAGCUCUUCAGCGCCGAUGGUAGUCGGGGGUUUCCCCCUGUGAGAGUAGGACGCCGCCA
rnacentral:rRNA from 1 species